rnacentral:rRNA from 1 species
CACGGGGGGAGCAAGCGUUGUUCGGAAUCACUGGGCGUAAAGGGCGUGUAGGCGGUCAAGUAAGUGGAAUGUGAAAGCCCCCGGCUUACCCGGGGAUCUGCAUCCCAAACUGCUUGGCUUGAGUACGGGAGAGGAUAGGGGAAUUCCUGGUGUAGCGGUGAAAUGCGUAGAUAUCAGGAGGAACACCGGUGGCGAAGGCGGAUCUCUGGGCCUUACCUGACGCUCAGGUGCGAAAGCUAGGGGAGCGAACAGG